UGUCAGGGAAACCAGCCCAAAGGUGUGGAGA
rnacentral:piRNA from 1 species